AAUCUGUGCAAAUGUUUCUUAUGGUAGUGGCAUCAAAGCAGCCAAACCAUCUGAAGAAAGCCAUACUGCAUUUCUAACAUGGACAAAGUAUGCAGUCAGGUUCAGAACUGGAGCAAUUCCAGCUGGGACAAUACUCAACUUGGGCCGCUGCCUCCCUCACCUUGGCGCUUGGCGCGAAUAUCGAGACCAUGACAAGCAGAUAUCCUAUGACCAGGUUGAACCAGAUGAGGAUUUGGUCUCCUUGCUCCUGCUCUAAAGGCAUGGAGUGCAGGCAGGUGAAGAUCAAACAGAGAGCAAGCAUAAUUUGGUUACUGAUGCUAUAUGCUGCCUGAUUCUCUCCAUCAGUUGACAUUUUUGUCUCUCUCCCUUGUUUAUUCUCUAAUUUUUUAAGAAGAAUUUCUGAUGUAUGAUGACCACUGAGAUUAUAUGGAUUAUAUAAACAAGAUAUGCAAUGUAAAGAUUAUGCUUGUUAUAUGCAAUUUUGUCAGAAAUAAAUGGAACUAGCCAGCUUGGAUUAUGGGGUGGUCAUCCGGCGCAGACCUUCUUCAGGACCAUUUUUCCUUGACCUGUUAACAAAAACUAUGCUUCAUGAGAUGAGGUUACGAGGUUGGUUACAAAGUAGAAAAAAAUAUCAAAAAGAGAUGCUACUUCAGAAAACCCCAUUUCGAACAUAGAAAUUUCGUAGAAUCUUUGGGAGGAUAUUUUCUCAUUUCCAGCAUGAAUAGGAUAAUUUCCCAGUUCCCGAAAAAAAUGGUCGACGUUAUUAUUAUAUCCUUUGUGAUCUUAUUUCGAAAUACUGAACUAAAUUGAUCUGAAAUACACAACUGAUAUCAAGAAACAAAGAAGAGAAGAUGUUACUGACCAAAAAUGCGCAACAGUGAUAGGUUCAGGCGAUCUGAAGAACUAUCAGAGCUCUGUCUCAUGGCCACACAAAACGACCAAGAACACAGAGAGUAUCUGGGAAAUCCAGCUCCAGUUCACCGUUUCUAUCUGCAAAAGGGAUAACGCUAAUGGCACUAGACGUUUCUGCGGUUCUGAAUAACUGAUAAUCCUCACCCCUGUUUCUGAC
rnacentral:lncRNA from 1 species